GAUUCUGGCUCAGGAUGAACGCUGGCGGCGUGCCUAACACAUGCAAGUCGAGCGAAGCGGUUUUAAGGAAGUUUCGGAUGGAUUAAACUGACUGAGCGGCGGACGGGUGAGUAACGCGUGGGUAACCUGCCUCAUACGAGGGGGAUAACAGUUAGAAAUGGCUGCUAAUACCGCAUAAGCACACAGCUUCGCAUGGAGCAGUGUGAAAAACUCCGGUGGUAUGAGAUGGACCCGCGU
rnacentral:rRNA from 1 species